UACGUAGGGGGCAAGCGUUGUCCGGAUUUAUUGGGCGUAAAGAGCGUGUAGGCGGUUAGGUAGGUCCGUUGUGAAAACUCGAGGCUCAACCUCGAGACGCCGAUGGAAACCAUCUAACUAGAGUCCGGAAGAGGAGUGUGGAAUUCCCGGUGUAGCGGUGAAAUGCGCAGAUAUCGGGAAGAACACCCGUGGCGAAGGCGGCACUCUGGGACGGUACUGACGCUGAGACGCGAAAGCGUGGGGAGCGAACAGG
rnacentral:rRNA from 1 species